rnacentral:rRNA from 1 species
GCGCGAAAACUUUACAAUGCUGGCAACAGCGAUAAGGGAACCUCGAGUGCCAGGUUACAAAUCUGGCUGUCGAGAUGCCUAAAAAGCAUUUCAUAGCAAGGGCCGGGCAAGACCGGUGCCAGCCGCCGCGGUAACACCGGCGGCUCGAGUGGUAACCGUUAUUAUUGGGUCUAAAGGGUCUGUAGCCGGCCGGAUAAGUCUCUUGAGAAAUCUGGCAGCUUAACUGUCAGGCUUUCAGGAGAUACUGUCUGGCUCGAGGCCGGGAGAGGUGAGAGGUACUCCAGGGGUAGGAGUGAAAUCCUGUAAUCCUUGGGGGACCACCUGUGGCGAAGGCGUCUCACCAGAACGGCUCCGACAGUGAGGAACGAAAGCUGGGGGAGCAAACC